rnacentral:tRNA from 1 species
GUGGCUCAGGGGUAGAGUGCUUGCCUUGCAUGCAUGAGGACCUGGGUUCGAUUCCUCAGC